UCUCCAGGGCCACGACUCCCCAACUCCCCGUGGGCACAGCUGCACUUAACUCCCAAGCCUGACUCUACUUGGCCAAGUUCUUACCUUUCCCUGGGUUUGGCUUGCACUUUCUCAUCAGGUCUUUCUCCUCUGAGGUAGGAAAAUUCCAUUGGCUUUAAGGAGGGAUAGCACAUAGAAGAAAAAAUAUGAAGCAGUAGCUGUGAAGCCUGAGCAAUGGAACCUGGCAGCCCCAACCCAACUCAGUUUAACUCAGCCUCACCAAACCUGAUUCCAGACUCAUGGCACCUGAACUUGCUACAGCUCUCUGGUCCCAGAAUCCUCUUCAAUUCCAGCUAGAAUGCUGUGUCUGGCACUUCGCAGAUUUGGUCAAAAGCUGGUACGCAGACAUGUGCUGGAGGAAUAUGUGGCCGAUAUGGGCCCUGACAGAAGACUGACCACCCUAGAUUUAGUGGCCCUGGGUAUGAGCUGCACAGUGGGUGUAGGUAUAUAUAUCCUGGCUGGUGAGGUGGCUAGAGAUAAAGCAGGACCAUCCAUCGUGAUCUGCUUGUUGGUGGCCGGCCUAUCUUCUGUGUUGUCUGGGCUGUGCUAUGCAGAGUUUGGUGUCCAGGUUUCCUAUUCCGGCUCUUCAUAUCUCUACAGCUAUGUCACUCUAGGUGAACUCUGGGCUUUCAUCACUGGCUGGAACCUCAUCAUCUUCUUUGUUGCUCAUACAGCCACUGUGGCCCGGGCUUGGACCUUAGCUUUCGACAAUCUGCUUGGGAACCAGAUAUCUCAGACCCUGCAUGAGAGCAUCUCACCAAAUGUUCCCCAGGUCCUUGGAGAAAUUCUAGGAUUCAUUGUUGUGGGCCUUGUGUUGUUGCUCAUGGAAUUGUUGAUUCUGAGGAGUAGUCGGAUUUUCCUGGUUUCCAAAGUGGUCAUGUUGGUGAAACUUUUGACCCUCACUUUUGUCAUCAUUGCUGGCUUCAUUAAGGGGGACCUGCACAACUGGAAGCUCACAGAAGAGGACUACGUAAAGGCUGGACUCAAUGACACCUCAAGCUUAGGCCCUCUGGGCUAUGGAGGAUUUGUGCCUUUUGGCUUCAAGGGGAUUCUCCGUGGAGCAGCUACCUGUUUCUAUGCAUUUAUAGGUUUCACUAUUAUUGUUACCAGAGUCGAAGAAGCCCGAAAUCCCCAGUAUUCUGUCCCCAUGGGCAUUGUUAUUUCACUGUUCAUCUGCUUUUUGAUGUAUUUUGGUGUCUCUUCAGCACUUACACUUAUGGUGCCUUACUACCAGCUCCAACCUGGGACCACCUUGCCUGAGGCAUUUCUCCAUGUUGGCUGGGCCCAUGCCUGCUAUGUUGUAACUUUUGGAUUCCUCUGUAGUCUUUCCAUCAGCAUCUUUGGCUUUAUGUUCCCCAUACGUAAUCUGAUAUACAUGAUGACACAGGAUGGGCUCCUGUUCCCUGUCCUUGCCAGGAUCCAAACUGGCACAGACACCCCCAUUGUGGCCACUGUGAUCUUGAGCAUUAUUGCAGCCAUCAUGGCCUUCUUCUUUAGACUCACUGAUCUUGUGGACCUCAUGUCAGUUGGGGCCCUGCUAGCUUACUCUUUGCUGGCUACUUGUGUUCUCAUCAUCAGGUAUCAGCCUCAGAGGAGGACUGGAAGAAAUGAAGCAGAGGUGCAGGAGGAGAAUGGACCUGCAGCAGAGAAGCUGACUCUACAGGGACUACUUUUUCCAGGCAGCUCCACCCCCACUCCACUCUCUGGCCGGAAAACCUGCAGCAAAGCUCCUGGAAGCAGAAGGCAGGAUGAUCUGCACGUGGUGUGAAGGCAGAGGCAGCACAGGAACCCCCUCUCCCAAGUGGGUGGGAAAGAUGCUGGUCCUUGUCUCACGGAGUCAAAGAAUGCAUCUCGUGGUUGAAAAAGAUUUGCUUUAUUUCUAGGUGUUAAACUUUUCCAAGGGCCAGGAGUCAUACCAGAGAAAGAGCCAACGCAGUUGAUUACCAUUAUUACUUUGCAAAUUUUUAGAAUCUUGCAGGGAAAAUGGAACAUGGACCUUCGUGGGGCCAAAUUCACAUUUCAGUCAAUGUAUACAUUGAAUGUGCCUUCCUUUCAGAGGAAAGAUUUCUUCUCCCUUAGAAAUCCUGGAUAAGGAGGACAUGAGGGUUUAACAGGUGGCCUUUCCUGAGGAGAGGCCUCAGGAGGCAAGACUAUCUAACUGUAAGAUAGUACUGUACUGAAUACUUCCCUCAAGAGGCCAGGACUCUCGGGGCACCUGGGUGGCUCAGUCGGUUAAGGGUCCGACUUCAGCUCAGGUCAUGAUUUCGCUGUCUGUGAAUUCAAGCCCCACGUCGGGCUCUGUGCUGACAACUCAGAUCCUGGAGCUUGUUUCUGAUUCUGUGUCUCCCUCUCUGGAGGCCAGGAUUCUCCAUCCUCCAGAAGAUACUGAGGCCAAGCCUGGGAGACAAGACAAAAAAAAAAAAAAAACCAAAAAACAAAAAACUUCAUGCACUUCUUUUUGAUCAUUUGUAUAUCAAAUCAUUUCCAAUUUCUCAGAACAUGUUCCAGAGGAGUACCCACAGAGAAUGGUUUGUUUCCCAUCUUGUGAUGCAGGAGCGUGGGAGAGACACUGGUCCUUGUGUCAUGGAGUUGAAGAAUGAAUCUCAAAGACAACAGAGAGUGAGCAAAGCAAUAGAGUUUAUUGAGGGAAAGCAUAAAACUCUCAAGAGUGAGAGGGGUCCUGACUGCGUAGCCGCUUAGGUUUCUGUGUCUCACUUUUUAUUGGGACGUUAUCAGAAAGUUUUUGAGACUCCACGCGUGGCACCUAGAUCAGGCAAGUCUGAAAUACGUUCAUCUUUUUUUUGUUUUUGUUUUUGUUUUCUUUUUCCCAACCCCCAAGGCUUCUUCACCUUCCCACUUUCAGCUGCAGCCUGCCUCUUUGAGGGUCCCUUAUCUCUUGCUUCCUAAUGUAACCCUUUCCCAGCUCACCAGUACUUGGGAGACUUUUUUAUGAGGGAUUUUUAUAACAAACUUUAUAUCUGACAUUUUACAGCACCCCUUGUCCAGAGAAGGAGGGAUUACAGAUAUUUAUUGACACAUAGUGUCAGAAUAUGGAGGAAAAUUGACUAGGGAGAUGGAAAGAGAAGGGGGUUCUUCCUUUCCCAGGUACGCAAAUGACCUGACUUAAUUUGUGUAGUAUAUGUUUUUCUGUGCUUUGUGGUCUUCUAAGUAAUGAGAUUAAGAAAUCCUGUCAUUGUUAAUAAAGACCUCAGUGGAGGGGAGAGAAGAGAUGAGAGACAAUUAGAUGGAGGCAUAAUGGGUACCCUGUCCCAUAUGAACCUUACACCCCUUCAAGAAGAUCAGGUGCAAGAGAAGUGCAGAUAAGUGAAAGCUGGGAGCAGAGAUCUAGGCACUGGCUCCUGUAUUCUGUAUUCAAAGCCUCCAGCUUCUGCAGUUUUACCUUGAAUAUCCUGGUCCUUUCAUUUUACUCUCUCAUGAUGAACAGAAAUUCAAAAUCAAAUGAUGCCCAAAGUCAGGAAAUCUUUCCAGAUAGCUAUGUCUUUUCCUUGGAAUUCUGUCCUCCCAAUCUCUGACUAGUUAAAAUCUACACAGUCAUCAUAGUCCAGUUGUUACCUCCUGCCCACACCUUCUGGGAUUAUCUGCACCAGAAGCAAUUUCUUUCCUUUAACCUCCUCUACUCCUUUCUGUCAGUCUUACCAUAGCUGUCUCUCCACACACCAUUUUCAGUUCUAGUUACCCUGUAUCUUCCCUUUCUCUCUCACUCAACUGUAAGCUUCUGGAGUGGAGACACUGUGCCCCGUAUAUUUUUAUAUUCUCUCCAUGGUCCUUAACAUAGACCUAAGGAAUUGUUAAAUAACUUUCAUGUGUGGUAUACAGUUGCAGAGGAAGAGGCCAUGGGUAGAGAUGUAGAAGUAGGGGCAUUAUGAGUAUUGAUUAAGGAUAUUAUUGUUAAUAUAGGUCUGGACAUGAUACACUCAGGAAUAGGUCAUAUUAUAAGUAAAUUUUUACCCCACCAGUAUAUUUACUCCAUAUAUUUAUUCACCACUCAUUCUUUCUCUCACUCAAAUAUAGAGCUUUUCUUAGUGGGAAAUAAACAAUAAGAAAACUUAAAUAAUUACAGUGUGAUAAACACCUGAAGGAAAUAAAUUGAGUCUAUUGAUAAAGAAUAAAAGGGAGUUUUCAUUAGAUAUGGAAGUUAGGAAAGGCUUUUAUGGUCAUGGUCAUAUAUUUAUCAUCCUAUCAUUAUGAGUUAAUUCAAUUUCCUAUUUGAAGG